AGGCAUUCCUUGGAAAUCUUUGUGCAAACUUCACUGUUUGUUUGUGAAGGACUUAUCAGCAGCCUGAAUGGUGUCAUGACUUGAGUGUGAGCUGAGGGAGACGGUGGUGGAAGUCAGUUACAAGCAGCUGCCCCGGAGUAGAAAGGAAGGUCUUCUGCUGCCCCCCAGGGGUUAGCGGAGGAGAUCACACACGGGCCUGCAGCCAGAAACUCCCUCAUUUGAGGUGUGAGAGCUUAAACACGUGUUUACGCUCAUGCUGAGGGAACCGUCUCAUGACACCAAACGUCGGCCGUGUGACAGCUGGAUGGGCCCCGGAGCCGUAGUCACUUCUCCCUCCGCUUCAAGCUGCUGCCGCCGGAUUAUCAGCGGCUGGGUUCCAUGUCGGCCGACCACAGGUUUUGAUAAGCAGCAUCGGCGGAAGAGAAAAAGUCAAAGGCGAGGAUGGGAAGUGACUCAUCCGCCUGUGUGCAACUGGUCAUUUACGAGGCAUGUGAGGGGCCCCCGGUGCCCGAGGUUGCUGACUGGCACUCUCUGGGGAUUCUGCAUCGGGCCUUUUUAAGGACACAUUUUGAUGCACUCGGUUACUCUGUGUAGUAUGUUGAGACCACUUAGAAAUGAAAAACACUGGCAAUGUAAAACCCAGAAAAGAGUUUUUUCCCCCUUCACAGAUCAACUCAAAUCAAAUAAAUAAACCUUGGGUUUCAACUGCAAGGUAACAAGGUGGUUAAGACUGAAAUUUCACAGAAAUAAUUUAAAUUCUCUUCACUGUGGAACAUCAAACAAGCCAACAGCAUCUCUCGAAUCCAAAAUAUAUAUUUUACAGUGCAUGUUAGAAAUGUUAACAUAAAAACAUGCGUCAUAAGACGAGAAGUGCGUUCAGUCCUUUUAACGAGCGUGUAUAUCUGUCACCGGUCCUUGAUGACGGGUCCGGGCAUCACUACCUGUUUAGUAUAUUCUAGUGCUGCGCCGGUGUUGCUGUAGCUGUGUGGGACGCGUAGCAUUUGUUGUCCUGCACGGUAUCUGCGGCACCCGUCCAGUUUGCCCUACUUCUGUGAUUAUGAUGACGAUACAAGUGUUCUCUGUUCUUUGUUUUAAAGUAUGCACACCUUAAAGUAUAUUUUAGAAUAAACAAGCUUGAUGGACAAAGACAUGAAUCUUGCAAUAGGAAAUUUGACCUUUUUAGACUCAUUGGCCUCUGUAUAUAACAAGCUCUGCUCCAGAACCGUUAUUUGCACGGACCAACCAUCCGUGUCUGAGAGCGCAGCCUUGUGCGCUAGGAAUAGAGAAGCCUUGUGAACAUUAAUGGCCGGGGAACAGUUAUGAAAAUAUUCCUUUCCUGCUGCCCCCAGUCAAAGAGAGGGCACAGGGCUGACUUGUUUUCGUCCGUUUUAACUCCCCCAGGUUAAAAUUCGAUGUAUAUUUAGGAGGAGAUUGAGCUAGAACAGGAGGAGAAGAAAAGCACGAAGAGGCUGUCUCUGUUAUUGGAGACAUCUGACUCAAUGUUCUCCAAAUGCCUGGACAUAUUUUAGCCAUAUUUAGCCACACUCAUGGUAAAUUUCACUUACGGUUAUUUAGAUACCAUCUUAAGUGACUAUUAGUAACAUUAAGCUUGAGAAAUAACCAUAUGACCCUCAUUUUGUUCUUUUAUGUGUUGCCGUGCUGCAGUGAGGCCCGAUGGACAGACGUGCGUUAUUUUAGUACCGCGGUUUGUGGUUAAAUGCGGACAUAAGCAUAUAUUAAUAAAACGCUUAGCACUACUUUGGUUACUGACCUGUGUAAAAAUCUUCUCAGAAUAAUAAAAAUAACAAAUCUCUUUAAUGUUUGUCAUGACAACUCCAAAUUAUGAAUCCCACAACACGCCCCGAUGGUCUGUAAUUAUUGUUCAACCUAGAGCCAAAUUAACUCUGUGUUCCUCGGCCAGUGGUGUGUGAUACGCUAUGAACAACCCGGAUGACUCUUCUAUUCUCGAGCUUCAAAGUGGGCAGAAAGGAGACAACGGGAGCCCACGAUGAUGAUUUUUCUCCACCAUCAUUUCCUCCGUGUAAAAAUGGAUACCCGCUGUCUGCUUCCGGUGGUCACGCGGGGUUGUGCGCUGUGCAAACAUUUUUCUCCGUUGGCUCCUUUUAUUUGUGGCAGCCGUGCGGCGGGGGUCACAUGGUUGGUGCUCACACGGCACUUGUUGCACAACCCGGUCUCACAGCAAAACGUGU
ensembl:lncRNA